rnacentral:rRNA from 1 species
CAGCCGCCGCGGGAAUACGGAGGGGGCUAGCGUUGUUCGGAAUUACUGGGCGUAAAGCGCACGUAGGCGGUUUUGUAAGUCAGAGGUGAAAGCCCGGAGCUCAACUCCGGAACUGCCUUUGAGACUGCAUCACUUGAACGUCGGAGAGGUGAGUGGAAUUCCGAGUGUAGAGGUGAAAUUCGUAGAUAUUCGGAAGAACACCAGUGGCGAAGGCGGCUCACUGGACGACUGUUGACGCUGAGGUGCGAAAGCGUGGGGAGCAAACAGGAUUAGAUACCCCCGUAGUCCCUGUCUCUUAUAC